UCCAGGGUAGCCUAGUGGACAUGGCACCUGCCCGGUAAGCAGAAGGUUGUGGGUUCGAUUCCCGCCCCUGAAC
rnacentral:tRNA from 1 species